AUGAUUGACCGUCAGUGCCCACUCCUCACAGUACUGCUACAGUCUGUCUGUCAUCUGUCCAUCUGUCUAUCAUCUGUCUGUCUGUCAUCUGUCCAUCUGUCUAUCAUCUGUCUGUCUAUCAUCUGUCCAUCUGUCUAUCAUCUGUCUGUCUGUCUGUCAUCUGUCCAUCUGUCCAUCUGUCUAUCAUCUGUCUGUCUGUCAUCUGUCCAUCUGUCUAUCAUCUGUCUGUCUGUCAUCUGUCUAUCAUCUGUCUAUCAUCUGUCUGUCUGUCUGUCUGUCUGUCUAUCAUCUGUCUGUCUGUCUAUCAUCUGUCUGUCAUCUGUCUGUCUGUCUGUCAUCUGUCCAUCUGUCUAUCUGUCCAUCUGUCUAUCUGUCCAUCUGUCUAUCAUCUGUCUGUCUGUCUGUCAUCUGUCUGUCUAUCAUCUGUCUAUCAUCUGUCCAUCUGUCUAUCAUCUGUCUGUCUAUCAUCUGUCUGUCUGUCAUCUGUCCAUCUGUCUAUCAUCUGUCUGUCUGUCUGUCAUCUGUCCAUCUGUCUAUCAUCUGUCUGUCUGUCAUCUGUCCAUCUGUCUAUCAUCUGUCUGUCUGUCAUCUGUCCAUCUGUCUAUCAUCUGUCUGUCUAUCAUCUGUCUCUCAUCUGUCUAUCAUCUGUCUGUCUGUCUGUCUGUCUAUCAUCUGUCUAUCAUCUGUCUAUCAUCUGUCUGUCUGUCUGUCUGUCUAUCAUCUGUCUGUCUGUCUAUCAUCUGUCUAUCAUCUGUCUGUCUGUCUAUCAUCUGUCUAUCAUCUGUCUAUCAUCUGUCUGUCUGUCUAUCAUCUGUCCAUCUGUCUAUCAUCUGUCCGUCUGUCUGUCUGUCUGUCUAUCAUCUGUCUGUCUGUCUUUCUGUCUGUCUCUCUGUCUGUCUGUCUGUCUAUCAUCUGUCUGUCUGUCCAUCUGUCUAUCAUCUGUCUGUCUGUCUAUCAUCUGUCCAUCUGUCUAUCAUCUGUCUGUCUAUCUAUCCUCUGUCUCUCUGUCUGUCUAUCAUCUGUCUGUCUCUCUGUCUGUCUGUCUGUCUGUUGUUUUGUCUGUGGUGUGUGUUGUGGGUGAAUGUGUUAGUUGCCAGUUUAACCCAGGAGACGCUCAUAAAGUGGUUCAGAUGUCACUGCCAUCAAAUACAUUUGAAGUUAAAGUAA
rnacentral:lncRNA from 1 species